UCCGGCGUGGUCUAGUGGCUAGGAUACCUGGCUCUCACCCAGGAGGCCUAAAUUCGAUUUCCGGCGUCGAAA
rfam:Ixodes scapularis strain Wikel colony gcontig_1108379084988, whole genome shotgun sequence.